rnacentral:rRNA from 1 species
UACGGAGGGUGCAAACGUUGCUCGGAAUCAUUGGGCGUAAAGCGCACGUAGGCGGCUCGUUAAGUCGGAUGUGAAAGCCCUCGGCUCAACCGAGGAAGUGCAUACGAAACUGGCGAGCUUGAAUAUGGAAGAGGGUCGCGGAAUUCCCGGUGUAGAGGUGAAAUGCGUAGAUAUCGGGAGGAACACCAGUGGCGAAGGCGACUACCUGGCCUGUUCUUGACGCUGAGGCGCGAAAAGCUAGGGGAGCAAACGGGG